GGGUUGUGAGGUUAAGCGACUAAGCGUACACGGUGGAUGCCCUGGCAGUCAGAGGCGAUGAAGGACGUGCUAAUCUGCGAAAAGCGUCGGUAAGGUGAUAUGAACCGUUACAGCCGGCGAUGUCCGAAUGGGGAAACCCAGUGCAAUUCGUUGCACUAUCGUUAACUGAAUACAUAGGUUAACGAGGCGAACCGGGGGAACUGAAACAUCUAAGUACCCCGAGGAAAAGAAAUCAACCGAGAUUCCCCCAGUAGCGGCGAGCGAACGGGGAGCAGCCCAGAGUCUGAAUCAGCUUGUGUGUUAGUGGAACGGUCUGGAAAGUCCGACGGUACAGGGUGAUAGUCCCGUACACCAAAAUGCACAGGCUGUGAACUCGAAGAGUAGGGCGGGACACGUGGUAUCCUGUCUGAAUAUGGGGGACCAUCCUCCAAGGCUAAAUACUCCUGACUGACCGAUAGUGAACCAGUACCGUGAGGGAAAGGCGAAAAGAACCCCGGCGAGGGGAGUGAAAAAGAACCUGAAACCGUGUACGUACAAGCAGUGGGAGCACCUUCGGGUGUGACUGCGUACCUUUUGUAUAAUGGGUCAGCGACUUAUAUUCUGUAGCAAGGUUAACCGUAUAGGGGAGCCGCAGGGAAACCGAGUCUUAACUGGGCGUUAAGUUGCAGGGUAUAGACCCGAAACCCGGUGAUCUAGCCAUGGGCAGGUUGAAGGUUGGGUAACACUAACUGGAGGACCGAACCGACUAAUGUUGAAAAAUUAGCGGAUGACUUGUGGCUGGGGGUGAAAGGCCAAUCAAACCGGGAGAUAGCUGGUUCUCCCGAAAGCUAUUUAGGUAGCGCCUCGUGAACUCAUCUUCGGGGUAGAGCACUGUUUCGGCUAGGGGGUCAUCCCGACUUACCAACCCGAUGCAAACUACGAAUACCGAAGAAUGUUAUCACGGGAGACACACGGCGGGUGCUAACGUCCGUCGUGAAGAGGGAAACAACCCAGACCGCCAGCUAAGGUCCCAAAGUCAUGGUUAAGUGGGAAACGAUGUGGGAAGGCACAGACAGCCAGGAUGUUGGCUUAGAAGCAGCCAUCAUUUAAAGAAAGCGUAAUAGCUCACUGGUCGAGUCGGCCUGCGCGGAAGAUGUAACGGGGCUAAACCAUGCACCGAAGCUGCGGCAGCGACACUAUGUGUUGUUGGGUAGGGGAGCGUUCUGUAAGCCUGCGAAGGUGUGCUGUGAGGCAUGCUGGAGGUAUCAGAAGUGCGAAUGCUGACAUAAGUAACGAUAAAGCGGGUGAAAAGCCCGCUCGCCGGAAGACCAAGGGUUCCUGUCCAACGUUAAUCGGGGCAGGGUGAGUCGACCCCUAAGGCGAGGCCGAAAGGCGUAGUCGAUGGGAAACAGGUUAAUAUUCCUGUACUUGGUGUUACUGCGAAGGGGGGACGGAGAAGGCUAUGUUAGCCGGGCGACGGUUGUCCCGGUUUAAGCAUGUAGGCUGGUUGUCCAGGCAAAUCCGGAUAAUCAAGGCUGAGGUGUGAUGACGAGGCACUACGGUGCUGAAGUAACAAAUGCCCUGCUUCCAGGAAAAGCCUCUAAGCAUCAGGUAACAUUAAAUCGUACCCCAAACCGACACAGGUGGUCAGGUAGAGAAUACCAAGGCGCUUGAGAGAACUCGGGUGAAGGAACUAGGCAAAAUGGUGCCGUAACUUCGGGAGAAGGCACGCUGGUGUGUAGGUGAAGUCCCUGCGGAUGGAGCUGAGACCAGUCGAAGAUACCAGCUGGCUGCAACUGUUUAUUAAAAACACAGCACUGUGCAAACACGAAAGUGGACGUAUACGGUGUGACGCCUGCCCGGUGCCGGAAGGUUAAUUGAUGGGGUUAUCCGUAAGGAGAAGCUCUUGAUCGAAGCCCCGGUAAACGGCGGCCGUAACUAUAACGGUCCUAAGGUAGCGAAAUUCCUUGUCGGGUAAGUUCCGACCUGCACGAAUGGCGUAAUGAUGGCCAGGCUGUCUCCACCCGAGACUCAGUGAAAUUGAACUCGCUGUGAAGAUGCAGUGUACCCGCGGCAAGACGGAAAGACCCCGUGAACCUUUACUAUAGCUUGACACUGAACAUUGAGCCUUGAUGUGUAGGAUAGGUGGGAGGCUUUGAAGCGUGGACGCCAGUCUGCGUGGAGCCAACCUUGAAAUACCACCCUUUAAUGUUUGAUGUUCUAACGUUGGCCCCUUAUCGGGGUUGCGGACAGUGUCUGGUGGGUAGUUUGACUGGGGCGGUCUCCUCCCAAAGCGUAACGGAGGAGCACGAAGGUUAGCUAAUCCUGGUCGGACAUCAGGAGGUUAGUGCAAUGGCAUAAGCUAGCUUGACUGCGAGCGUGACGGCGCGAGCAGGUGCGAAAGCAGGUCAUAGUGAUCCGGUGGUUCUGAAUGGAAGGGCCAUCGCUCAACGGAUAAAAGGUACUCCGGGGAUAACAGGCUGAUACCGCCCAAGAGUUCAUAUCGACGGCGGUGUUUGGCACCUCGAUGUCGGCUCAUCACAUCCUGGGGCUGAAGUAGGUCCCAAGGGUAUGGCUGUUCGCCAUUUAAAGUGGUACGCGAGCUGGGUUUAGAACGUCGUGAGACAGUUCGGUCCCUAUCUGCCGUGGGCGCUGGAGAAUUGAGGGGGGCUGCUCCUAGUACGAGAGGACCGGAGUGGACGCAUCACUGGUGUUCGGGUUGUCAUGCCAAUGGCACUGCCCGGUAGCUAAAUGCGGAAGAGAUAAGUGCUGAAAGCAUCUAAGCACGAAACUUGCCCCGAGAUGAGUUCUCCCUGAGACUUUAAGUCUCCUGAAGGAACGUUGAAGACGACGACGUUGAUAGGCCGGGUGUGUAAGCGCAGCGAUGCGUUGAGCUAACCGGUACUAAUGAACCGUGAGGCUUAACCUUACAACGCCGAAG
rnacentral:rRNA from 1 species